UGUGAACUCGAAGAGUAGGGCGGGACACGUGGUAUCCUGUCUGAAUAUGGGGGGACCAUCCUCCAAGGCUAAAUACUCCUGACUGACCGAUAGUGAACCAGUACCGUGAGGGAAAGGCGAAAAGAACCCCGGCGAGGGGAGUGAAAAAGAACCUGAAACCGUGUACGUACAAGCAGUGGGAGCACCUUCGGGUGUGACUGCGUACCUUUUGUAUAAUGGGUCAGCGACUUAUAUUCUGUAGCAAGGUUAACCGUAUAGGGGAGCCGCAGGGAAACCGAGUCUUAACUGGGCGUUAAGUUGCAGGGUAUAGACCCGAAACCCGGUGAUCUAGCCAUGGGCAGGUUGAAGGUUGGGUAACACUAACUGGAGGACCGAACCGACUAAUGUUGAAAAAUUAGCGGAUGACUUGUGGCUGGGGGUGAAAGGCCAAUCAAACCGGGAGAUAGCUGGUUCUCCCCGAAAGCUAUUUAGGUAGCGCCUCGUGAACUCAUCUUCGGGGGUAGAGCACUGUUUCGGCUAGGGGGUCAUCCCGACUUACCAACCCGAUGCAAACUACGAAUACCGAAGAAUGUUAUCACGGGAGACACACGGCGGGUGCUAACGUCCGUCGUGAAGAGGGAAACAACCCAGACCGCCAGCUAAGGUCCCAAAGUCAUGGUUAAGUGGGAAACGAUGUGGGAAGGCACAGACAGCCAGGAUGUUGGCUUAGAAGCAGCCAUCAUUUAAAGAAAGCGUAAUAGCUCACUGGUCGAGUCGGCCUGCGCGGAAGAUGUAACGGGGCUAAACCAUGCACCGAAGCUGCGGCAGCGACACUAUGUGUUGUUGGGUAGGGGA
rnacentral:rRNA from 1 species